GCUUCAAUAGCACAUACUAAAAUUGGAACUAUACAGAGAAGAUUAGCAUGACCCCUGUGCAAGGAUGACACACAAAUUUGUAAAGCAUUCUGUAUUUUU
rnacentral:snRNA from 1 species